GACGAACGCUGGCGGCGUGCUUAACACAUGCAAGUCGAACGGAAAGGCCCUGCUUUUGUGGGGUGCUCGAGUGGCGAACGGGUGAGUAACACGUGAGUAACCUGCCCUUGACUUUGGGAUAACUUCAGGAAACUGGGGCUAAUACCGGAUAGGAUCUCCUGCUGCAUGGUGGGGGUUGGAAAGUUUCGGCGGUUGGGGAUGGACUCGCGGCUUAUCAGCUUGUUGGUGGGGUAGUGGCUUACCAAGGCUUUGACGGGUAGCCGGCCUGAGAGGGUGAACGGCCACAUUGGGACUGAGAGACGGCCCAGACUCCUACGGGAGGCAGCAGGGGGGAAUAUUGCACAAUGGGCGGAAGCCUGAUGCAGCAACGCCGCGUGCGGGAUGACGGCCUUCGGGUUGUAAACCGCUUUCGCCUGUGACGAAGCGUGAGUGACGGUAAUGGGUAAAGAAGCACCGGCUAACUACGUG
rnacentral:rRNA from 1 species